rnacentral:pre_miRNA from 1 species
AUCUCCCAGAGAUCUUGUUAAAAUGCAGGUUCUGAUCCAGCUAGUCUGGGUGGGGCUUGAGAUUCUGCAUUUCUAACAAGCUCCCAGGUGCUGCCAG